rnacentral:rRNA from 1 species
AGGAGGUUAGUGCAAAGGCAUAAGCUAGCUUGACUGCGAGAGUGACGGCUCGAGCAGGUGCGAAAGCAGGUCUUAGUGAUCCGGUGGUUCUGAAUGGAAGGGCCAUCGCUCAACGGAUAAAAGGUACUCCGGGGAUAACAGGCUGAUACCGCCCAAGAGUUCAUAUCGACGGCGGUGUUUGGCACCUCGAUGUCGGCUCAUCACAUCCUGGGGCUGAAGUAGGUCCCAAGGGUAUGGCUGUUCGCCAUUUAAAGUGGUACGCGAGCUGGGUUUAGAACGUCGUGAGACAGUUCGGUCCCUAUCUGCCGUGGGCGCUGGAGAAUUGAGGGGGGCUGCUCCUAGUACGAGAGGACCGGAGUGGACGCAUCACUGGUGUUCGGGUUGUCAUGCCAAUGGCACUGCCCGGUAGCUAAAUGCGGAAAAGAUAAGUGCUGAAAGCAUCUAAGCACGAAACUUGCCCCGAGAUGAGUUCUCCCUGACUCCUUGAGAGUCCUGAAGGAACGUUGAAGACGACGACGUUGAUAGGUCGGGUGUGUAAGUGUAGCGAUACAUUGAGCUAACCGAUACUAAUGAACCGUGAGGCUUAACCUUACAACGCCGAAG